rnacentral:rRNA from 1 species
AGCAUAUCAAUAAGCGGAGGAAAAGAAACCAACAGGGAUUGCCCUAGUAACGGCGAGUGAAGCGGCAACAGCUCAAAUUUGAAAUCUGGCUCUUUCAGAGUCCGAGUUGUAAUUUGCAGAGGGCGCUUUGGCGUUGGCAGCGGUCCAAGUUCUUUGGAACAGGACGUCACAGAGGGUGAGAAUCCCGUACGUGGUCGCUAACCUUCGCCGUGUAAAGCCCCUUCGACGAGUCGAGUUGUUUGGGAAUGCAGCUCUAAAUGGGAGGUAAAUUUCUUCUAAAGCUAAAUACUGGCCAGAGACCGAUAGCGCACAAGUAGAGUGAUCGAAAGAUGAAAAGCACUUUGGAAAGAGAGUCAAAUAGCACGUGAAAUUGUUGAAAGGGAAGCGCUUGCAGCCAGACUUGCCUGUAGUUGCUUAUCUGGACUUUUGUCCGGUGCACUCUUCUGCGGGCAGGCCAGCAUCAGUUUGGGCGGUUGGAUAAAGGUCUCUGUCAUGUACCUCUCUUCGGGGAGGCCUUAUAGGGGAGACGACAUGCAACCAGCCUGGACUGAGGUCCGCGCAUUUGCUAGGAUGCUGGCGUAAUGGCUGUAAGCGGCCCGUCUUGAAACACGGACCAAGGAGUCUAACAUCUAUGCGAGUGUUUGGGUGUCAAGCCCGGACGCGUAAUGAAAGUGAACGGAGGUGGGAACCCUUUGGGUGCACCAUCGACCGAUCCUGAUGUCUUCGGAUGGAUUUGAGUAAGAGCAUGGCUGUUGGGACCCGAAAGAUGGUGAACUAUGCUUGAAUAGGGUGAAGCCAGAGGAAACUCUGGUGGAGGCUCGCAGCGGUUCUGACGUGCAAAUCGAUCGUCAAA